ACGGCAGCCCGGAAGGCCAAGAUCGAUCCGAAAGAGAAGGGUCGGUCUCCCGUACCGGACUACCCAGCACGGACCCCGGCACCCACGCGGAGCCAUAGCCGCUGACAGGGCAGAAGUGUUGCGGGCCUGCGGAAUUGCGAAAUACGGACGGUACACCGGACCCCAGGGGUGGGGUCGUAUUCGUAGCGUGUCGCAACUACGCCGAGGCCACCCCGCGCAACCCACCUAGCACGCCUGGUAACCGGAAUUCCGUGCUAGCGGGCGACGAGCCGAGUUACUCGGGUCGUCGCCCGCUUCGCAUG
rnacentral:ncRNA from 1 species